UUAAAAACCACUUCCCCUAUGGAGAAAAGGAAUGGGAUUUUUUCUUCUGGAACUCAACUGUUUCACUCUAUUGUUUGUUUAAAUUCCUUACCCAAAGUAUAUGUUUACUUCAACACCACUAAUUAAACCCUCCUCUUUCGCUUCCUUUUGUUUCUUAUUUUCAAGGUGAAAAUUUACUGCAGGACCUCCCAGCCAACAUCCUGCGCUCUGUCCCAAAAAUCGAGAGUGUAAACUUAGAGCAAAACUCAAUCAAAUCAAUACACCCUCAAGCAUUUGCUGGUGCCCAGCGACUGAUGCUUCUGAAUCUGCAAGGAAACCGAAUGUCCAAACUCCCAGAGAAGGGCUUCAAAGAUCUCCUAAACCUACGCUUUCUCAUGCUGGGCCAGAAUCAGAUAGCUACCCUGAAACCUAACAUAUUCAUUGGCAUGAGGAACCUCUCAGAGCUGGAUCUGCCCCUGAACGCCCUUACUGCUCUCCCACCAAAUGCAUUUAAGCCUCUGAUUGCCCUCAAAGUCCUGGAUCUAGCCGUGAACCACAUCCAAAACAUCUCAUCCAAAGCCUUUGUCGGACUUGAAGGACUUCGUUUUUCUCAGUUUGGGCAUCAACAAGCUGAAUAAUAUCCAAGCUGGGACCUUUGCGCCCCUGAUUGAUCUUGAGAUGCUGGUGCUAGACAACAAUUUUCUCUCCACACUUACCGCAGCCACACUAGAAUGUCUUUCCAACCUGCAGGAGCUCUAUGUGAGAAAGAAUGAAAUUGAAAGUCUGCCAGCUGACGUUUUCCGCCACACACCUAAACUUUCUCACGUGGGCUUAAGUGGAAAUCGACUUCAUGCUAUUGAUGGAGACAUGCUAGCCAACAUGCAAGGUUUGAAGGAGGUGUUUCUGCAUGACAGCCCAUGGAAAUGUGACUGCAGUAUCAACUCGCUGGUACAUUACAUAGCCCAGACAAGGGCUAAUCACUCUCCUCUGCGAAGACUUCAGUGCACUAGCCCAGAAAAGUUUCGUGAUAGACCCAUCUACCAGCUAAAAUCUGAUGAACUUCCCUGCAGGGCCUAGAAAAUCCUCACGUCUGAUAUUAUAUCACAAACAACCUCCAAAAGUUGGGAACAUGGUGUAAUAACAGCGUGAUACUUUCUGCAACUAAAUGGUGAUGCUUCAUAUAACUCCAACCCAAUGACUUUGACAGGUUAGUGAUAGAGCUGCUGUUCUGCAGAUAGUUCUUAAAAUUAUUGAAUCUAUUUGAUGUAUACAGUAUAUACACAAUAAACACAUCUUGAAACUGCAAAUGAUUUUUUUGUUAGAUGCAGGGAAGCUUAAAGGAAAUAAAUAGAGGUUAGAAAAUCCCUCUGCUCAGAGACCGACUGCAAACUUCCAGCACCACCUGAGACUGAAUUCCUCAUCGGAUUGUUACAGCUGAAUAAGCUUCCUUUGAAAUCAUCACUCUGUCUCUAAAUUCCACCCAGGGCGCUGAGGCUGCAGUCCCACAUAUAGGAGUGGGAUCUUUUCAGAUGCUGGGAAGGUGUUAUUAAAGCAGGCUGCUAAAAUUUAUGCUUUGGUAUUUUACAUAUUAAAUAUAUGUAUAAUAUAAAAUAAUACACACAAAUACAUAAGCUACAGUGUUUUUAUAGUGUAAUAUAAUGAAAUGUCAUAAUAUACUAUAAAAACACUCAAGCAUACAAUGUUUCACACUCAGAUGACUGUGGAUAUCUACUUCUAACUUUCAAACAAAUCCAAAUUACUGGUGCAUUGUGCUUUUGUGCAUAACAAGAUACUCCUUUAACACCUAAUUUCCCCCAGCGUUGCCAUGGCAACCGUAGCUUAUAGUAGGGAGCUCCUGCGGAUGCUUUACCCCUCACUGCAUCACCUCCUCAACCAGCUGUUACCAACUCAGUGUCCUCCAACCGUCUCACUUUCACUAGUAGAUUUACAGUGACGAAUUGGCAUGAUUCUGGCACCAAAUAAACAGCUUUAAAACAGCUUACAUUAAUCAUAGCUAGAGACACCCCCCCCCAACACUACAUUUGUUAGAAUUCCAUAGAUGAUGGAGAUUAAUUGUUUGUGCUUGCUGUUUUAGUGCAGAGUUUUGUAGUAUUGAUGGGGUUUGUAAAUUGACAUUAUGGCCAUGCACACAAUUGAGAUAAUAGUAAUUGUCUCCGACUACGAGGCACACGGAAUUGGAGAUAAUAGUAAUAUAAGCUUUACUAACCAUCCUAAUUUAUCACCUUGCAUGGUUGUUACACACCUAAAAGGAAAGAUGGAUCUGUCCUUCCCUUCUUUUAGGACAGUAUGACCUAGCUUUUAUACUACCAAACAUUUUUUACGCUCAAAACACAGGUCUGUUCAAGCUUUGCUAAACCUGAUGAAUGGAUGGUGUUCUUUGGUGUUUAACCUUUUUAAUAUUUGAAUAUGAUUAAGAAACUAAUUUCAGCUCUUAAUUAGAAGCCGACGAUUUCAAAGGUACAUCCUUUUAAGAAUGAAAAGCUACACUUGCUUGCUGCUUUUUCUGUAAAAAUUUAGGCAAAAGUGCAAGGGUUGCCAAAAGUGUCUUUAAUAUUGAGUCUUAUUUCCUUAUUUUCUAAGUGAAACAUCCCCACAGCAUGACACUGCUAUCACAAUGUUUCACCAUAGAUACGGUAUUAGCCAGGUGUUAAGCCAUUUUAGUCACAGUGUUCAUUCAGGCUGAAGAGUUUAUUAUUUAUUUCACCAGACCAGAGUUUAUUAUUUAUUUCAACAGACCAGAGAAUCUUUUCCAACAGGAUCUUAGUCCAUUAAUUUCUGUUUGCCAAACUCCACUUGUUUGGUUGUUUUACGUCUUUAUUUAAGAGUGAAUUCCAGUUAAACAUAAUGACUUAAUGAUUAAUGAAACCAUAUGCUGAGAUAGUUUUCCUCCCGGUAGGUCCAGCAGGAGCUCUAACUGCCUAUAGAGUGUC
rnacentral:lncRNA from 1 species